UACGUAGGGUGCAAGCGUUGUUCGGAAUCACUGGGCGUAAAGGGUGCGUAGGCGGAUCAAUCAGUCAGGGGUGAAAUCCCGAGGCUCAACCUCGGAACUGCCUUUGAUACUGUUGAUCUUGAGUCCGGAAGAGGUGAGUGGAACUGCGAGUGUAGAGGUGAAAUUCGUAGAUAUUCGCAAGAACACCGGUGGCGAAGGCGGCUCACUGGUCCGGAACUGACGCUGAGGCACGACAGCGUGGGGAGCAAACAGG
rnacentral:rRNA from 1 species